ACUCCUACGGGAGGCAGCAGUGGGGAAUAUUGCACAAUGGGCGCAAGCCUGAUGCAGCCAUGCCGCGUGUAUGAAGAAGGCCUUCGGGUUGUAAAGUACUUUCAGCAGUGAGGAAGGCGGUGACGUUAUUAAGCGUGGCCUCGUUUGACGUUAGCUGCAGAAGAAGCCACCGGCUAACUCCGUGCCAGCAGCCGCGGUAAUACGGAGGGUGCGAGCGUUAAUCGGAAUUACUGGGCGUAAAGCGCAUGCAGGUGGUUUGUUAAGUCAGAUGUGAAAGCCCGGGGCUCAACCUCGGAAUAGCAUUUGAAACUGGCAGACUAGAGUACUGUAGAGGGGGUAGAAUUUCAGGUGUAGCGGUGAAAUGCGUAGAGAUCUGAAGGAAUACCGGUGGCGAAGGCGGCCCCCUGGACAGAUACUGACACUCAGAUGCGAAAGCGUGGGGAGCAAACAGGAUUAGAUACCCUGGUAGGAUA
rnacentral:rRNA from 1 species